GCGGACGUGGCGGAAUUGGCAGACGCGCAAGAUUUAGGAUCUUGUCCUGAAAGGGGUGGGAGUUCAACUCUCCCCGUCCGCA
rnacentral:tRNA from 1 species